rnacentral:rRNA from 1 species
UGGUCAAUAGAACAAUGUAGGUAAGGGAAGUCGGCAAAACGGAUCCGUAACUUCGGGAAAAGGAUUGGCUCUGAGGGCUGGGCCUAGGGGUCUGCGCCCUCAACUCGUGGGCUGUCGGCAGUCUGCCCGAGCUGCACUCGCGGCGAGGGCGGGCAGUCGCGUGCCUGUCGGGCUACGGGCGCAGAAUGUCCCCUUGCGGGGCGUUCCCUAGGCGGCGAACAGUCGACUCAGAACUGGUACGGACAAGGGGAAUCCGACUGUUUAAUUAAAACAAAGCAUUGCGAUGGCCGGAAAUGGUGUUGACGCAAUGUGAUUUCUGCCCAG